ACUAGAUUAUGUUUAUUCAAUUAACACAUUCAACAACACCAAAUUAAUGCAAAAAUGUGAUAUCCGAAAUCAUUUUCUUGCAUAUUUGUAAAGAUAUUCGAAUUUAAAAUCGUAAUUAUUAUUAUCGGAAAAAUGUGUCUAAACAACUAUCAUUACAAAGUAUUAUCAUAUCUUGUUAAAAUGAGAAAAAAAAGUAUAGCAAAUAUAUACAUAGGAGAGUCGGCUGUAUCGCCUAUAUAGUACCGGCGUUUAAAUAUUAUAUAUUACUUAAACGCAUGUUUUACGGCGAUAAUAGCGAAAAACUUAUUUUUAAUUUUUUCUAUACAAUUUUUGUAAUAGCCAUUUUUUACUAGCGGUGCUGCACGCGCCACACUUUCGUAUAAUAUUAUCUUAUUAGAAACUUUUCAACUUCAUGGGAAGUCAUUCGAUUGACAUCUUGCAAAAUAUUUCAUGUAUGUUCCAAAUUAUUAUACUCCUGUUUUGAGACACAUUCGUCCAUGCAGUAUCAGAGUGUACUUAAGCAAACUGAUAAAACGUUGUCAAGUGAAUAAUACUUGAAGACAUUAACACGAUAAUUCCAUAUAGGUUAGUAAUUACUCAAACAAGUAGAUGUUACACGCUUAGCGAGGUCGUGCGUCAUGGCUAAUAAGGUAAAUCAUUAAGCACCGUACGCAUGUUCUGUGUACACGUACGACCAAAAUAGUAAAUUUAAAUAUACCUAUAGAACGGAAGAGAAUGUCUAAAUUAUUUCAAUUAUUUGUCACCCGCGCCAACAAUCACGCGAUCUGAAGUAUUCUUUAUUACGUGCUGUACUUUGUUGACAAGGGGCACGCAACCAUGAGAAGGGGUGUCAAUUACAGUAGGAAGGUCACGCCAGGGCGCACCGGGAUGAGGUCACGCUCCGAGCACGAAACAAUGCCACCGCAGGGAUCAUACAAAGAUGCAGGCAGGGGUUCAAAUUUGUUGGGAACGAAGACCUGAUACAGCUUCCCAUAGAAGAGUUACAUUUAUUGAAACAUGUAUCUGCAGAUCAUUUUAAAAAUAGUGCUUUUAAUAAAAAAAAAUAAAGAAAAAAAAAUAGUGAAGGAUUUUAUAAUUACAUUCUGAGUGUAACGAGGUAUUCUAAAAUAGAAUCCUAGCGUAGUGAGGGAUUCAAGUGUUAACGCCUAAGGGUGGUAUUCCACCUAUGCAAUUU